UACGAAGGGAGCUAGCGUUGUUCGGAAUCACUGGGCGUAAAGCGCACGUAGGCGGAUGUGUCAGUCAGGGGUGAAAUCCCGGAGCUCAACUUCGGAACUGCCCUUGAUACAGCACGUCUUGAGUCCGGAAGAGGUGGGUGGAAUUCCUAGUGUAGAGGUGAAAUUCGUAGAUAUCGGUAGGAACACCAGUGGCGAAGGCGGCGAUCUGGGAAGAUAUUGACGCUGAGGUGCGAAAGCGUGGGGAGCAAACAGG
rnacentral:rRNA from 1 species